UUCAAUAGACUGCCGGUUCUAUUGAGAUUAAUGGAAUGUGAUGCAUACCAUCAUAAUUUGAGCAGUUCAGAAGGGAGGGCAGAUGGGAUGUGC